rnacentral:rRNA from 1 species
AUUGAACGCUGGCGGCAGGCCUAACACAUGCAAGUCGAGCGGAUGAAGGGAGCUUGCUCCUGGAUUCAGCGGCGGACGGGUGAGUAAUGCCUAGGAAUCUGCCUGGUAGUGGGGGAUAACGUCCGGAAACGGGCGCUAAUACCGCAUACGUCCUGAGGGAGAAAGUGGGGGAUCUUCGGACCUCACGCUAUCAGAUGAGCCUAGGUCGGAUUAGCUAGUUGGUGAGGUAAAGGCCUACCAAGGCGACGAUCCGUAACUGGUCUGAGAGGAUGAUCAGUCACACUGGAACUGAGACACGGUCCAGACUCCUACGGGAGGCAGCAGUGGGGAAUAUUGGACAAUGGGCGAAAGCCUGAUCCAGCCAUGCCGCGUGUGUGAAGAAGGUCUUCGGAUUGUAAAGCACUUUAAGUUGGGAGGAAGGGCAGUAAGUUAAUACCUUGCUGUUUUGACCUUACCAACAGAAUAAGCACCGGCUAACUUCGUG